rnacentral:rRNA from 1 species
GACGAACGCUGGCGGUGUGCUUAACACAUGCAAGUGGUGCGACGAACCAGAGCUUGCUCUGGGGCAAAGCCGCGAACGGGUGAGUAACACGUGGGUAAUCUACCCCGAUGACCGGGACAACCCGAGGAAACUCGGGCUAAUACCGGAUGUGGUGCGGAGACAUAAGUCUCUUCACUAAAGGUAGCUUCGGCUUCCGCAUUGGGAGGGGCCCGCGGCCCAUUAGCUUGUUGGUGGGGUCAAGGCCUACCAAGGCAACGAUGGGUAGCUGGUCUGAGAGGACGAUCAGCCACACUGGGACUGAGACACGGCCCAGACUCCUACGGGAGGCAGCAGUGGGGGAUCUUGCGCAAUGCGCGAAAGCGUGACGCAGCAACACCGCGUGAGGGAAGAAGGCCUUAGGGUUGUAAACCUCUUUCAGAUGGGACGAAGGUUCUCCGGUGAAUAGCCGAGAGGAUUGACGGUACCGUCAGAAGAAGCUCCGGCUAACUACGUGCCAGCAGCCGCAGUAACAC